rnacentral:rRNA from 1 species
GCCUAAUACAUGCAAGUCGAACGGGAUUGAGAGCUUGCUUUCAUGAGAGUGGCGUACGGGUGCGUAACGCGUAUGCAACCUACCUUCAUCAGGGGGAUAGCCCGAAGAAAUUCGGAUUAACACCGCAUAAAAACACAGCUUGGCAUCAAGCAAUGUUCAAAUAUUUAUAGGAUGAAGAUGGGCAUGCGUGUCAUUAGCUAGUUGGUAAGGUAACGGCUUACCAAGGCUACGAUGACUAGGGGAUCUGAGAGGAUGACCCCCCACACUGGUACUGAGACACGGACCAGACUCCUACGGGAGGCAGCAGUAAGGAAUAUUGGUCAAUGGAGGCAACUCUGAACCAGCCAUGCCGCGUGCAGGAAGACUGCCUUAUGGGUUGUAAACUGCUUUUAUACGGGAAUAAACCUUAAUUCGUGAAUUAAGCUGAAUGUACCGUAAGAAUAAGGAUCGGCUAACUCCGUGCCAGCAGCCGCGGUAAUACGGAGGAUCCAAGCGUUAUCCGGAUUUAUUGGGUUUAAAGGGAGCGUAGGCGGCUUGUUAAGUCAGGGGUGAAAGACGGUGGCUCAACCAUCGCAGUGCCUUUGAUACUGACGAGCUUGAAUAUAGUUGAGGUAGGCGGAAUGUGACAAGUAGCGGUGAAAUGCAUAGAUAUGUCACAGAACACCGAUUGCGAAGGCAGCUUACUAAGCUAUUAUUGACGCUGAGGCUCGAAAGCGUGGGGAUCAAACAGGAUUAGAUACCCUGGUAGUCCACGCCCUAAACGAUGAUAACUCGAUGUUGGCGAUAUACAGUCAGCGUCCAAGCGAAAGCGUUAAGUUAUCCACCUGGGGAGUACGCCCGCAAGGGUGAAACUCAAAGGAAUUGACGGGGGCCCGCACAAGCGGAGGAGCA